rnacentral:rRNA from 1 species
GAUGAACGCUGGCGGCGUGCCUAAUACAUGCAAGUCGAGCGAACGGACGAGAAGCUUGCUUCUCUGAUGUUAGCGGCGGACGGGUGAGUAACACGUGGAUAACCUACCUAUAAGACUGGGAUAACUUCGGGAAACCGGAGCUAAUACCGGAUAAUAUUUUGAACCGCAUGGUUCAAAAGUGAAAGACGGUCUUGCUGUCACUUAUAGAUGGAUCCGCGCUGCAUUAGCUAGUUGGUAAGGUAACGGCUUACCAAGGCAACGAUGCAUAGCCGACCUGAGAGGGUGAUCGGCCACACUGGAACUGAGACACGGUCCAGACUCCUACGGGAGGCAGCAGUAGGGAAUCUUCCGCAAUGGGCGAAAGCCUGACGGAGCAACGCCGCGUGAGUGAUGAAGGUCUUCGGAUCGUAAAACUCUGUUAUUAGGGAAGAACAUAUGUGUAAGUAACUGUGCACAUCUUGACGGUACCUAAUCAGAAAGCCACGGCUACCUACG